CGAACAGCCGUUCUUCAUGGCCUUCCACUUCUCCUUAGAGCAGACCCGACUGAUUUUUACAAGACAUGUUUUGACUGUGAUGACAAAGGAGAGAUGUCCGGAAUUUCAAUCGGAAUAUUGUUUGUGAUACCUGAGGACUCUGCAACCGUGCCUUACUGUUUGCAUCUGGAUGCCACAUUCACUGCAAUUAUUUUGGAAGGUAGAGUUGUAAUGGAUGAUCUGGGAAACCUUCCCAAAGCAAUGUGCCUGCUUUUUUGGCUCAUUUAUGCUCUGAAUGUAGAGUAUCCUGCUGUACUGAAGAACAUGUUUGAUUUCUUUCAAAGUGUGAUUGUCACUCGGGGCAAGUCUCUCAAACCUGAAAAAUCGCCUGUUGCUGUAACAUUGUUGUGCCAUGAUUGACCAUUUUUCAGUUUGUUCAGAAUUGACCAUUGCGGAGAUAGAAAAUAGUAAUCAGGAAUGUAAUUUUAUAUUUUAGAAUAUAGUGUAGUCUUUAAAGAAACUUUUAAAAUAAAUAGGAAGGUUGUUCAGUACUAAAAAAACAGAAGAAUCUUUUGUUUCCUGUAGGAAAACGUGCAAUUUGCUUAACAGGGUUAAGUGGUUUGUUUUAGAAAAGGUGCUAAUUUUAGAAAAAAAUGCUGUAUUUCACCACUGUGAGAAAAGGUAAAAAUGUCAAAAAAGGGAGCAUUGAUUGUAUGUAAUUGCUGUAUGUGAAAAAAUGCAGUGUGCUGUGUUGAUUUGAAGGCAUGACAUUGUUUUAUGGAACAAAUAAAUGUCCCAGUGUUGUGUCAAAGA